rnacentral:rRNA from 1 species
CCUACGGGAGGCAGCAGUGGGGAAUCUUGCGCAAUGGGCGAAAGCCUGACGCAGCAACGCCGCGUGCGGGAAGAAGGCUUUCGGGCUGUAAACCGCUUUCAGCAGGAACGAAAAUGACGGUACCUGCAGAAGAAGGAGCGGCCAACUAUGUGCCAGCAGCCGCGGUGAUACAUAGGCUUCAAGCGUUGUCCGGAUUUAUUGGGCGUAAAGAGUUCGUAGGCGGUCGAGUAAGUCGGGUGUGAAAAUUCUGGGCUCAACCCAGAGACGCCACCCGAUACUGCUUGACUUGAGUUCGAUAGGGGAGUGGGGAAUUCCUAGUGUAGCGGUGAAAUGCGCAGAUAUUAGGAGGAACACCGGUGGCGAAGGCGCCACUCUGGAUCGAUACUGACGCUGAGGAACGAAAGCAUGGGUAGCAAACAGGAUUAGAUACCCUGGUAGUCCAUGCCGUAAACGGUGGGCACUAGGUGUGGGUUUCUAUUAACGAAAUCCGCGCCGUCGCUAACGCAUUAAGUGCCCCGCCUGGGGAGUACGGUCGCAAGACUAAAACUCAAAGAUAGUGCGNGNGAGAGCGACGACGACGACGAGGAGGAGAG